AGCGUUUCUAAAAACAUGAAGUCUGAGUUGGAGAUAUCCCCAGAUAAUGAAGUGUUGGAUUCGCUCAGCAAGGAAACUCCCCAAAAACCUGCAGCCUUCCAAGGAGAAACUGAGGAGUCUUUAACUAACCUGGACAAGAUCACAUCCUCAAGUGGAUCAGACUCAUCAGAGGAGUCGCUGCAGACUGUGUUAAACAUUUGCUGCUUGCACUGCCAGCAGCUGAAGAAACCCCCAGUGACCAGUGAUCAGAUAGCAAACAGUGUUGACCCAAAAGAGUUUUUCUGCUGUGAGAAGGCAUGGAAGAUAUCACAGAUUUUGCUAAAGGGUGCAGCGGGUAUCAGUAACGAAACUGUGACUGAUAGGGACCCAGCGAUGCAGAAAGAUGAAAGGUCAGGAUCACUCUUGUCCAUUUCUGGAUUCCACCAUUACAUGGUUUUCAAAUUAAAUUGAUAUGCCA
rnacentral:lncRNA from 1 species